GAUGGGUUUGUUACAGUGGCGACGGUGGGAGAGAAGGUGGAGGAAGAUGGCGGAGAGGAGAGUGGUGAGGAGCGGAGGGAGGAUAAAUGUGGGGUGCAGAUAGAGGAGACUUGUUUGUUGACCAUCAUGCAAAGGAUGAUAGCAGCAGAGGUUAGGAGUUACAUUGAUAGACUAAGGGCUGAAGAUGGGCUAUAUGGGCCUGCUGCCAGAAAGGAUCUCUGAAGUCAUAAAAAGAUUUCCACUCUUUUGGGUUAUUUUAAAUGUGUU
rnacentral:misc_RNA from 1 species